UUCUAAGGGCGGUGAAGUCAGACCGGAAGGACUGGUGGAGCGCUUAGAAGUGAGAAUGCCGGUAUGAGUAGCGAAAGAAGGGUGAGAAUCCCUUCCACCGAAUAUCUAAGGUUUCCUGAGGAAGGCUCGUCCGCUCAGGGUUAGUCGGGACCUAAGCCGAGGCCGAUAGGCGUAGGCGAUGGACAACAGGUAGAGAUUCCUGUACCAGUGCUAAUUGUUUAACCGAUGGGGUGACACAGAAGGAUAGGGAAUCGCACGAAUGGAAAUGUGCGUCCAAGCAGUGAGUGUGAGAAGUAGGCAAAUCCGCUUCUCGCGAAGCAUGAGCUGUGAUGGGGAAGGAAAUUAAGUACGGAAGUUCCUGAUUUCACGCUGUCAAGAAAAGCCUCUAGGAAGAGUAGUACUGCCCGUACCGCAAACCGACACAGGUAGAUGAGGAGAGAAUCCUAAGGUGAGCGAGAGAACUCUCGUUAAGGAACUCGGCAAAAUGACCCCGUAACUUCGGGAGAAGGGGUGCUCUAUUAGGGUGCAAGCCCGAGAGAGCCGCAGUGAAUAGGCCCAGGCGACUGUUUAGCAAAAACACAGGUCUCUGCAAAACCGUAAGGUGACGUAUAGGGGCUGACGCCUGCCCGGUGCUGGAAGGUUAAGAGGAGUGCUUAGCUUCGGCGAAGGUACGAAUUGAAGCCCCAGUAAACGGCGGCCGUAACUAUAACGGUCCUAAGGUAGCGAAAUUCCUUGUCGGGUAAGUUCCGACCCGCACGAAAGGCGCAACGAUCUGGGCACUGUCUCAACGAGAGACUCGGUGAAAUUAUAGUACCUGUGAAGAUGCAGGUUACCCGCGACAGGACGGAAAGACCCCGUGGAGCUUUACUGCAACCUGAUAUGGAAUGUUUGUACCGCUUGUACAGGAUAGGUAGGAGCCGAAGAGACGUGUGCGCUAGCAUACGAGGAGGCAAUGGUGGGAUACUACCCUGGCUGUAUG
rnacentral:rRNA from 1 species